rnacentral:sRNA from 1 species
GUUGAGUUAGGGAUUGAAGUGGAAAUCCUUUUGCUUUUUCUGCAAAAGAUUGCAACGGAAAGCCCGCCCACGC